AUGAACGCUGGCGGCGUGCCUAAUACAUGCAAGUCGCGCGAACGGACGAGAAGCUUGCUUCUCUGAUGUUAGCGGCGGACGGGUAAGUAACACGUGGAUAACCUACCUAUAAGACUGGGAUAACUUCGGGAAACCGGAGCUAAUACCGGAUAAUAUUUUGAACCGCAUGGUUCAAAAGUGAAAGACGGUCUUGCUGUCACUUAUAGAUGGAUCCGCGCUGCAUUAGCUAGUUGGUAAGGUAACGGCUUACCAAGGCAACGAUGCAUAGCCGACCUGAGAGGGUGAUCGGCCACACUGGAACUGAGACACGGUCCAGACUCCUACGGGAGGCAGCAGUAGGGAAUCUUCCGCAAUGGGCGAAAGCCUGACGGAGCAACGCCGCGUGAGUGAUGAAGGUCUUCGGAUCGUAAAACUCUGUUAUUAGGGAAGAACAUAUGUGUAAGUAACUGUGCACAUCUUGACGGUACCUAAUCAGAAAGCCACGGCUAACUACGUG
rnacentral:rRNA from 1 species